CAGUCGCCGCGGUAAUACGGAGGGGGCUAGCGUUGUUCAGAAUUACUGGGCGUAAAGCGCACGUAGGCGGCUUUGUAAGUCAGAGGUGAAAGCCCGGGGCUCAACCCCGGAAUUGCCUUUGAGACUGCAUCGCUUGAAUCCAGGAGAGGUGAGUGGAAUUCCGAGUGUAGAGGUGAAAUUCGUAGAUAUUCGGAAGAACACCAGUGGCGAAGGCGGCUCACUGGACUGGUAUUGACGCUGAGGUGCGAAAGCGUGGGGAGCAAACAGGAUUAGAUACCCCAGUAGUCCCUGUCUCUUAUAC
rnacentral:rRNA from 1 species